rnacentral:lncRNA from 1 species
GUUUAUGAAUGUGUUUGGCAAAAAAUGUAAUAGUGAAUAAAACUGGGUUAAACCCAAAUGUACAUAUAUACGUAUACAUGUAUAUAAAAUUAAACAGAUAUUCUGUUCAUAAAAAAUUAACAGCCUCCAUUUGAUCCUAGAAGCACAGAAAAGCACCCUCAGCUUUUCACAUGUGACAAAGGCCACUGCCAGUGGGCACGCUGUGUUUCUGCUCAGUGCAGCUGUGAACUGAACUCAGCUGUUUUCUGCCUGGGAAGCUCACGCGAUCCAGUAACACGGGGCAAUGUGUGUUUCCAGUUUCUGAAUGCUAUGCGGAAGGGCUGUGCCUCGGCAGGGCAGCACCUGCUGCCAGGUACACCUCCAGCAGGAGGGCAGGAGCAGGGCCCUGUGGCAGCCCUCAGUGAGGGAAGGUCUCUGGGCUUCUUGCUGCAGCGAGCUGGAGGCUCUGGAAAGGAAGCAGGCCCUGAGGAGGAGGAUUUGGUUAUGGAGCUGUGGAGAGACAUCUCAACUGAUAUUAAGACUUGGUCUGCUUCAGGGGCUGGAGACUCGUCGUCUUAGCAGUCCAGAUGGAAGGCACGUCUUGAAGCCCUUGUUCCAGCAGAAAAUCAUUGUAUUGUGA